AGUCGUAACAAGGUUUCCGUAGGUGAACCUGCGGAAGGAUCAUUACCACAUCCAAUACCAACCCACCGUGUGCAUCUUGAAUGUAUUUUGGGGGCGCGAAGUAGACCUGGAGCGCGCUUUGCAAGAAGCGUCUGUGCCCCCGCCCGAUUCCCUUCGGGUGCUCUGGUCGCGAACAAUCACACCUUUAACCACACCAGUUUCGACUGAAGCCACACGAUCUCUUCUGGACGCAAGUUUGGAAGGAGAACGAAAAACGAAACAUGAGACAACUUUUAACGGUGGAUCUCUUGGCUCGUGCAUCGAUGAAGAACGCAGCGAAAUGCGAAACGUAAUGUGAAUUGCAGAAUUCAGUGAACCAUCGAAUCUUCGAACGCGAAUUGCGCUUCCGGGUAUUCCCGGGAGCAUGUCUGUAUGAGUGUUGUUUUGAACCUCACCCCUUGAGAGAGGCGGUGGAAGUGAGGGUGUCAGGCGCCUUGGCUGCGUCUGUCCCUUGAAAAACGACGGGGUGCGGCUUGAAUCGCGCUUCUCACCUGUGUGACAACUGUCUUCGCGGGUGGAGCGAGUCGGGUCGAUCAGUGCCUCCAACUGUGGUCUCUCACGAGACAGCUAGCGAGAGUUGAAGUUGUGCGUCAGCGCGACGGAGGCGCUCGCUGCUUUCACCUUUGACCUCAUAUCAGAUAAGACUACCCGCUGAACUUAAGCAUAUCAAUAAACGGAGGAAAUCACUAGU
rnacentral:rRNA from 1 species